CUGGAGGAUCAAAAAAGCUUCAUCUCAGUGUAACUGUGGAAGAGUUUUUAAAUAAUGUAGACGGAGUCAAUGCCACCACAAACAGUUCUGCAGAAGUAACUUUCUUCUAUGCUGCAGCUGGAUCAGCUGUGUUCAUCAUCACAUCUGGAGUUAUUCUUGGACUGGUCUACAGCAAGAAAUACAACA